rnacentral:rRNA from 1 species
UACGAAGGUGGCAAGCGUUGUUCGGAUUUACUGGGCGUACAGGGAGCGUAGGCGGUUGGAUAAGCCCUCCGUGAAAUCUCCCAGGCUUAACCUGGAAAGUGCAGAGGGGACUGUUCAGCUAGAGGAUGGGAGAGGAGCGCGGAAUUCCCGGUGUAGCGGUGAAAUGCGUAGAGAUCGGGAGGAAGGCCGGUGGCGAAGGCGGCGCUCUGGAACAUUUCUGACGCUGAGGCUCGAAAGCGUGGGGAGCAAACAGG